rnacentral:misc_RNA from 1 species
AAAAAAAAAAAAAAAAAAAGUAACUGGAGAGAUGGUGAAAUUAAGAGGCAAGAAGCACGGUUUGUGAAAUUUACAAAGACCCUUAAGCCAAAGGAACAGGAAGAAAACUUUUAGAGAGGAAGAAUGGAAGAAACAAAAAGCUGCCAUGAUAGAUAGACAACGCAAGUUUUGGGUUGAGUGAUGCGCAAAUUAACAGGAAGAGAAUCAAAUGCUAUGUCUCCUGGUGAAUUGAUAAGGGCUCCUAAGAUUCAAAAUCAAAGCAGAAGUGGGAUUAACACAUCAAUGAUAUAGCGAGCAACGACAUUCUGAUUAUUCAAAGUAGCCCACUGGAGCGCAUAAUAUCUGAGGCCAUCAGGCUUGGAAAUAGAGAAACCGUCACUCUCCAACAUUCUCUGAAGCUUCUAAAAUCCCAUAGGCAGUGGUUGUGCAAACAUCAUUCCUUAAGCCAUCGUCACCACCAACAUCAACAUUAUUGAUCCCAUUGGCCCCAUUAACAGAUGCUGAUUCCCCAAUAUUAAAUUGGACCUCCACCACCUCCAUCUUCGAUGACAUUUCUUCUACAAGAAAUUGGUAAUAAGCAUGGAAGGAGGAACUAGGAUUGAUUUGAUGAAAAAGAUUGAAAUUGGAAUUGAAUUGGUAAAGGAGUGGGAUGCCUUGGGCUUUUUCUUGAAAGGAGAGAGAGAGAGAGAGAG